rnacentral:misc_RNA from 1 species
CCACCCUCCCUCUCUCUCUCUUCAGGGCUGGUCUUUUUGUAUGGUGGUUCUCGAGGGAGAGAACAUGUAGAUUCCUAGAAGUUUACUCUCUUUCUUAGCCUGGAUUUGCCUAGGAUUCAAAGAUUGGUUGCUGCUACAAAUGAUGGCGAGUAUGCCUUCUUACGUCAUGUAAUUCUGUUCUAUUGAUUAAGCAUACCUGAGAAUCGGGUGAUGUAUCUGUUCUCGGAUUCAUCAGAUUCUAUUGUUUCUGCAGAUUCUUGAAGGCUGCUAUUGAAAAAUAUUUCAAAAGAUGGGUUGGCUAAAAAAAAUUUUCAAAGGCUCUAGCUAUAAAGGGCAUUACCAUGAGAAGUAUGGAGAAGAUAGACACUGGGAUGAGCCUCGCCGUUCAGUGGAUGAUUUAUCAGAUUUUGAUAGAGAAGAGAUUGACUGUGCUAUUGCACUUUCUCUUUCAGAAGUAGAUAAAAAAGGAAAGAAGGUUAUUGAGGAAGAAGAUGAUAGUUCCUGCCAUUCAGAUGAAGAUGAAAAGCGUGCAAGAGCUGAGGAAGAUGAAAGGCGGGCAAGAGCAGAAGAAGAUGAGAGGAGGGCGAGAGCUGAGGAAGAUGACAGGCGUGUGAGAGCUGAGGAAGAUGAAAAGCGUUUGAGAGCUCAACUGGAGGAAGAUGAACAACUCGCUAAAGCUCUUCAAGAUUCAAUUGUGGAGUCACCUCCUCGACAUGAUUUUGGAAAUACAUUUUCACCUUUUCCAUUUCUCUUUUCAUCUGGUCACAGGAUUUGUGCUGGGUGCAAUGCUGAAAUUGGUCAUGGAAGAUUUCUUAGUUGCAUGGGUGCUGUUUGGCAUCCUGAAUGUUUCCGUUGCAAUGCUUGCAAUCAGCCAAUUACUGAUUAUGAGUUUUCUAUGUCCGGGAAUCGUCCUUACCACAAAUCAUGCUAUAAGGAACGUCAUCAUCCAAGAUGUGAUGUCUGCAACAACUAUAUCCCAACAAAUUCAUCUGGUCUCAUCGAGUA